GGGAAGACAUGAAGGAACAAGGUAAAGCUCAGCUUUCGUCUCAGCCUCUAGCCGGCAGCCGCUAUAGUCUUAAACCCUAAAUCGACUCUGUACUCCCUCUCCCUGUAGUUCCUCUCCGUCACUCGCCUUUCGUCUCCGACUCUCCGGCUCCGACUCUCCUUGAAUCUCUCUUUACCGAACUCAGCGGCACCAUGACGGAGAUUAUGAUGGAUUAAUGUGUGGAGCAACUACAAGUGGUGAGGAAGAUGAGAAUGGCAGUGCCAGUGAAGAAGCUACUCCAGUGGAAGCAUAGAAGCGCACCAUGCUGGAGUGCUGGAAUUAAAUUACAAAAUUUUGGCACAUUCGAGUGGGAGAUCAAGUGAGGAUAUUAGGAGUGUGAUUUGUCUACUUUUGGAUAGAUAAAUUUUUUAGUUUGUGGACCGUAUUAGUCCAUUAUGGACGUAUUGUGAGGAAAUAUUACAUUUUGUUAUGUGAGAUCGUAUUAUGGAUGGAUUGAUGAGACAUAUUAUUUUUUAUUGUUGUGGAUUAAUCUAAAUUUAUGUCGAUAUUAUAUUUGCCGUGAUUA